rnacentral:rRNA from 1 species
CCUACGGGUGGCUGCAGUCGAGAAUCAUUCACAAUGGGGGAAACCCUGACGCAGCAACGCCGCGUGAGUGAAGACGUAUCUCGGUAUGUAAAGCUCUAUCAGCGGGGAAGAAGGAAGACGGUACCCGACUAAGAAGCCCCGGCUAACUACGUGCCAGCAGCCGCGGUAAUACGUAGGGGGCGAGCGUUAUCCGGAUUUACUGGGUGUAACGGGAGCGUAGACGGCGUCGCAAGUCUGAAGUGAAAGCCCGGGGCUCAACCGCGGAACCGCUUUGGAAACUGCGAGGCUGGAGUGCUGGAGAGGUAAGCGGAAUUCCUGGUGUAGCGGUGAAAUGCGUAGAUAUCAGGAGGAACACCGGUGGCGAAGGCGGCUUACUGGACAGUGACUGACGUUGAGGCUCGAAAGCGUGGGGAGCGAACAGGAUUAGAUACCCCUGUAGUC